rnacentral:rRNA from 1 species
GACGAACGCUGGCGGCGUGCUUAACACAUGCAAGUCGAACGAUGAUGCUGGAGCUUGCUCCAGUUGAUUAGUGGCGAACGGGUGAGCAACACGUGAGCGAUCUGCCCUUGACUCUGGGAUAACUGCGGGAAACUGUAGCUAAUACCGGAUACUUUCACCGGAAGGCAUCUUCUGGUGAUGAAAGAAUUUCGGUCAGGGAUGAGCUCGCGGCCUAUCAGCUUGUUGGUGAGGUAACGGCUCACCAAGGCGACGACGGGUAACCGGCCUGAGAGGGGGACCGGUCACACUGGGACUGAGACACGGCGCAGACUCCUACGGGAGGCAGCAGUGUGGAAUAUUGCACAAUGGGCGCAAGCCUGAUGCAGCAACGCCGCGUGAGGGAUGAAGGCCUUCGGGUUGUAAACCUCUUUUAGCAGGGAAGAAGCGAAAGUGACGGUACCUGCAGAAAAAGCACCGGCUAACUACGUGCCAGCCGCCGCAGUAA